rnacentral:tRNA from 1 species
GCCUGGUUGUCUCAGUGGUUGAGCGUCUGCCUUCAGCUCAGGCAGGAUCCCAGAGUUCUGGGAUCGAGUCCCACAUCAGGCU